AUACGAAGGGGGCAAGCGUUGUUCGGAAUAACUGGGCGUAAAGCGCACGUAGGCGGAAUGUUAAGUUAGAGGUGAAAUCCCAGGGCUCAACCCUGGAACGGCCUUUAAUACUGGCAAUCUAGAGACCGAGAGAGGUGAGUGGAAUUCCGAGUGUAGAGGUGAAAUUCGUAGAUAUUCGGAGGAACACCAGUGGCGAAGGCGGCUCACUGGCUCGGUACUGACGCUGAGGUGCGAAAGCGUGGGGAGCAAACAGGAGUAGAAACCCUAGUAGUCC
rnacentral:rRNA from 1 species